UGGGGAAUAUUGGACAAUGGGGGGAACCCUGAUCCAGCCAUGCCGCGUGUGUGAAGAAGGCCUUAUGGUUGUAAAGCACUUUAAGCGAGGAGGAGGGUACUGGUAUUAAUACUACCAGCUACUGGACGUUACUCGCAGAAUAAGCACCGGCUAACUCUGUGCCAGCAGCCGCGGUAAUACAGAGGGUGCGAGCGUUAAUCGGAUUUACUGGGCGUAAAGCGUGCGUAGGCGGCUAAUUGAGUCGGAUGUGAAAUCCCCGAGGUUAACUUGGGAAUUGCAUUCGAUACUGGUUAGCUAGAGUGUGGGCGAGGAUGGUAGAAUUCCAGGUGUAGCGGUGAAAUGCGUAGAGAUCUGGAGGAAUACCGAUGGCGAAGGCAGCCAUCUGGCCUAACACUGACGCUGAGGUACGAAAGCAUGGGGAGCAAACAGG
rnacentral:rRNA from 1 species